rnacentral:rRNA from 1 species
UACGUAGGGGGGCGAGCGUUGUCCGGAUUUAUUGGGCGUAAAGAGCGUGUAGGCGGCCAGGUAGGUCUGCUGUGAAAACUCGAGGCUCAACCUCGAGACGUCGGCGGAAACCAUCUGGCUAGAGUCCGGAAGAGGAGAGUGGAAUUCCUGGUGUAGCGGUGAAAUGCGCAGAUAUCAGGAAGAACACCCGUGGCGAAGGCGGCUCUCUGGGACGGUACUGACGCUGAGGAGCGAAAGUGUGGGGAGCGAACAGG